AAUAGAGGGAAACUUUCUCCACUUUAUACAGAGUAUUGACAGUGACCUACAGAUAACACUGUACUUAAUGCUGAAAGACUGAAUACUUUCCCCCUAAGACAGCGUGCAAGACAAGAAUGUCUGCUCUCUUCACUCUUAUUAAACAUAGUGUUGGGAGUUCUAGCCAUUGCAGGAAGGCAAGAAAAUGGAAUGAAAAGCAUACAAAUUAGAAAAGAAGAAAUAAAGGAAGAAAUAAAACUGUCCCUAUUUGCAGAUGACAUGCAUGAUUGCCUAUAUAUUGUAGAAUAUCCCAAGGAACCUACAUUUUGUUAUCUUUUAAAUAACUCCCACAUGAACUUGCAAAGAAAUGUGUUUCAAAGAAGAAUAUAUUCAAAAAAUAAAAGAAGACCAUUAUUUGCUGAUGUGUAAAGGAUUCCUCUAUUCUAUACAAGUGUGUCAUCAGGCUACUUAUGAAAUGUUAAGAGGCUUGGUUGUGUUGACUCUCCACCAGGCUAUAGCCUCAAAGGACUUCAUGUUAAGCUAGGGGAAAUUUGAAGUAGCCAGGAGAAAUCAUUCCAUCUCACCAAGUUGUUCACCCAGGACCACAAAGGACUGUCACACUCUAUGCCCACCAGGGAACAUCAAAGGGGAGAGUGAGUGUCUGGGGGUCAUAUGGUGUGGGUUUGAGUCCCAGCCUUGCCACUUAUAAUUAGCUGGUGCUGCAGACAAACCCCUUCAGCCUCUACUUCCUAUUCAGUAAAACAGGUAUAAAAGUGGUACCUACCUCAGAGACCUGUGCUGAGGAUUAGAUGACGCAAGUAGAGCACUUAACACAAUCCCUGUCACAUAGUAUAGGGUAUUUACGGUAAAGGCUACUUACAAAACCUGUACAAAAUGAGAAACUUCAGGAGAUAAUAACAAAAAUAUACAGAGGCAUAUUUGCUGAUCUUUAUGUUUUCUGCUCUUAUGUCACAUGGCGUGGAGAUCCCUGGUUCUUUGAGCAAAGCCAGAGCCAGCUAUUCAAUACCAAAAGGUGAUGGUAAUGGACUACAUGAUCUUCUCUUUCAGCCUGUUCUUUGUUCUUUUCUUCUGAGAGCUGCAGACACCAAUGGAGUUUGAGAAUCUUUCAUCUUAGAGAGGCUGAAUCUCCUGGAGUUAAGUUGUCCGAAGUUGUUUCCACAUUUGAAAAGCCCUGUGGGACACUAAUAUGAUGAGGAGCAGAAGAGAGAGAAUCAGCUGCAACAUGAAAAAGUGAUAGGGAAUCAUGUCUGACCAACCACCCAUUGUGAUGGACAGAUUUUCACUCAGAGAAGGCCCUCUCUUCACUCUGCCAACAGCAAGGAGUCCAUAAUUUUAAAGUGUUGGAAGAGGAGCUGUCCCACAGUCACAAACUCUCUGGGUUGUCGUCUCCUCUUUCACUCAGUCUAAGUUCACAGUGAUGGGUGAUUUGGGCAAGAGGCUUAAAGGGAGGCUGGCCAGAGCAGUUCAGUGUCUGUUGACCUGGCAACGGGGUGGCUCCAUUAUUACCCGCCUCUUUUUUUUCUCCUCUGAAACUUCCAUUAUUACCCUAGCAUGCAGAGCUGCUUAUCAGAGUCUUGGUUGCCAGUUCAGCCUUGGGUGGAGGAGCUACUGCUAGUUUUCCUAGAAACUUUAUUCACUGACUAAUUUAUUUGGUGUUUCCCAUUUCGUACUGAAAAAAUGACUUGUGAUUCUUUUCUGCCAGUAUAUGGGGUGGGAAAAGAAAUGUUGUAGCACUCAUCAAAAGUGUCCAGCCACUGUUUGUCACAUGUAGUUAUCUCCUUCUGGGCUUCACUAUAAAUCCUUACUCUUGUUUUGGGUGGAUUAUGCUAGACAUGGGGUUCUUUGUCCCCCAGGGCCCUCAAGGAAAGACCUCAUCCACCCUCCUCCCCAAUUAGUCUCAGGGAGAGGAGGUCAUUUCUCAGAAGCCCUUUGCCUGGCUCUCAUCAGAGGCAGCUCCCUUCACUUUGCCAGGAGGCCUAAAUUAAUUCCUUUAAAAGAAUCUACCACAUGAACAACCUUACUCUGUGACUCUCUCCAUGUCUAAAACUGAUGGAACUGAAUACAACCUCUGAGUUAUAAUUCUUGCCUAGAAACAGCUUUCUUCCAAAGGAGGAUCCUGCCACCUCCCUGCUCUCCUGGAGUGAUCCACCGGGAUCAGAAAGAUGCUCAUCAGGAGGCAUCCAGCACCCUGGGAAUGUGAGGACGGUACAGUCACUGUGUGACUUAGGGCCUUGGUCCCAUUCCCUUCCAGCCUCAAUGGGCCUGUGAAGACGGAAGCCGAGCCAUACAUUCAAAGGAAAAAGGAAGAGGGACUCACAAUUUUUGAGGACAGAUCUGCUGAGAGUCAGGAAUCUGGUGGAGCUUUACCCUACUAGUAGUGGAGGGGGCAAGAGAGGGUGAACUACAGAUGUGAAUAUAUUUGAGGGGCAGCAUGAUCUGGAGAGCAUGUGGAGAGAAGAAGGAAAAUACACACAUGUUUCCAUUUUGACUGUGAGUCAACGCCGUUUCAUGCAGUGGAAUAAGUGCCUUGAGGGCUGGGGAAAAAAGGUGUUUGCACCAUUUCCAUUCAACUGAGUCAUGUGCCCCAUGAAUGGAGUUUGGGGUAAGGGAAUGAACUCACCACUGACUCUGUUUCUCGUGUUUCCCAUGUUUUCCUGUCCCCUUAUUUCCUUGUUUCACAUGAGAGAAGAGUGAUUUCUUUGAGAUCCUGAAGGGUGAGAUCAAAGCCACUUGUCUGCCAUACAGGACACUGGACACUGGAUCAAGAGAGACAGGAGACCUCCCUGUUCAUGUCUGGCCCUACAGUACCAUCCAGGAGAUCUCCCUGGGUCCCGGGGGCAGACCUCACCUCAAAACUCUGGGAUGACCUUGGGAGGAGAAGUCAGAGAUUCAAAGUACAAGAAAGAUUAAAUGUGCUGUUGCAAACAAAAAAUCUUGCAAUUUGUAUGGAAACACAAAAGACCCCGAAUAGCCAAAGCAAUCUUGAGAACGAAAGAAGGAACUGGAGGAAUCAGGCUCCCUGACUUCAGACUAUACUACAAAGCUACAGUUAUCAAGACGGUAUGGUACUGGCACAAAAACAGAAAGAUAGAUCAAUGGAACAGGAUAGAAAGCCCAGAGAUAAACCCAUGCACAUAUGGACACCUUAUCUUUGAUAAAGGUGGCAGUAAUGUACAGUGGAGAAAGGACAGCCUCUUCAAUAAGUGGU